rnacentral:lncRNA from 1 species
GGAAAAUAGCUUUAAUAAUUGUCUACACACGUAGACACACGGGCAUGUGUCUAGGCUGUGUGUGACACACGGUCUACCCCAUGGGCGUGUGGUCCGGCCGUGUGUCCCCUGCACCCUAAUUAAUGCAAAACAGGAUGCCAAGUAGUAAACAUACGGGCAGAGACACGACCGUGUGUCUCAGUUGUGUGGAGGACACAGCCUCAGGACAUGGGCAUGUGGCCUGGCCGUG